rnacentral:ncRNA from 2 species
AGGCUCAUAGAUCGCGCCGGUGCCCCGCGAGGGGCUUUAAAUGGGAAUGCGGUGCGAGGGGCCUGCCCCCUCAAUUCCGCGGCUGUCCCUGCAACUGUAAGCGGCGAGCGCGAUGCACAUGUCCUCUUGUCGAGGGCGGCCACUGGACCCACUGGUCUGGGAAGGCGUGCAUCAAGCCUUGACCCGCGAGCCAGGAGACCUGCCGGCGUCUGGUCGCUCUU